CAGGCGGUACUGCGGGUCGAAACGAGCAGGAGAGGCGGGUCCUUCCCCCUCCUUACCGUUCGCAGGUUCAAGGAGCCGAGUGCGGCUGAUGUGGGGCCGGUCUAGGUGUGACAGAGCUCGCCGGGGUUUGGGGAGAACAUGUGUGCAAUGCUCCCGUUUGCCCUGAGGACCAUAUAUGGUCCCUCUGCACUGCCAGCCUCUGCUCCUGGUGUUUCCAACAGGGAUGAAAUAAAAGUAGGGUAUAAGCAGGACUGGUAUUAAUUCAGCUUUAUUUCCUAUACAAGGAAAUGAGAAGACAGUGUAAAAUGGUUGAAUCUGUACAUAGUUCUUGUAUGCCUCGUGCUAUAGGGUUACACAAUGGUGGAGUGAAGCAAGAAGAAAAGGAUGGGAUGUCGGAAAAGAGGCAGGAGGCUUUCCAGAGGUCCGGAAUGACUGUACAACAAGAAAGAGGUUUCGUGGUCCAGCUCUUGAAGACCUCAUGAUGAUGUGAGAAGCAUCCUUAGAGACCUAGUCAACCCACAUGCAAGACACCCACCCUUGAUCACAUCUGCUGUCAAUGGGAACUGAGGCCCAAUGUCACCUCCCACAGGCAGAAAGACCUCUUCAAAGCAGUGCACAGAAUUCCAUAGGUUGAAAAGAAUCCUAGAAAACCAGAAUGCCUGCACUUAUUUUUGUGAAGAUCAUCAGCACUGUCAUAGGAUCAAAUCUUGGCCCCAGUUGAACUCAACAGGAAUUUUGCCACUGACUUAAAUGGAGCUAAAAUGUCAUUCCUGCUAUUUGUCAAGUCAAUUACAUCCAGACAAUACUUUAACAUCUGGCUUCAACUGAACACACAGAAAUGUUUGCUCCCUCAGUCUCUGAAGAAAACACAGGACAUUGGCUAUCUCAAUAAAAAAUGAAAGCUUUGUUCUUGGCAAGCUGCUUGUAAUUAAGAGUGGAUCUGUCCAGUGAUACUAUCGGAACCAAAUCCCUGUUCUUUAGCAUAUAGUUAUUGGCAACAGCAUCAGGAGGUUCUCUGUCAUUUUCUGGGAAGAAUGUCAAAAGCACCCAUCUACUGUUGAAAGGCAUUCUGUUGUAAAAAC